AAGGUUGCAGUGAGCCAAGAUCGCGUCACUGCACUCCAGCCUGGAUGACAGAGCGAGACUCUGUCUCAAAAAUAAAUAAAUAAAAUAAAAUAAUAUAUAGUUAUCCUACACACACUUGUCACAAUAACAAGCACCCUCUGACACAGGCAAACACUGACAACACAUACUCACACUCACAUGUACAUAAUUUUCAAAUGACCAUAAACAUUCUUACCACAAACAAAAUUUGUUAUUGGAGUAAUUGAUACUCUGACCAUACAUACACUCAAACCACCCACACAGACUGCACUUUAUCUGAGAGCCCAUAUUGACCAUACACCCUCUAAGCACACAUACACAUUAACCAAACAUACCAACACACAAAUUACAAAAUGGCCAUGCACCCUGUGGCCACACAAAAUUGCUGAACACAAACACACACAUUCACACAGAAACUAUGGCUGUGCAUGUGUGCUUUAAUUAUGGUCAUUCCACACUCCAGCAUCAACAUGGAUGUCAAGAGUUGGAAGGGGGGUGAAACCCCAUCUCUACUAAAAUACAAAAUUACCUGGACAUAGUGGUACAUACCUGUAAUCCCAGCUACUUGGGAAGCUGAGGCAGGAGAAUUGCCUGAACUGGGAGGCAGAGGUUGCAGUGAGCCAAGGUCGUGCCACUGCACUCCAGCCUGGGCAAAAAGAGUGAAAUUCUGUCUCAAAAACCAUCUGAGGAAUGGGAGUCUGCAUUGCAACAAGACCUCCAAGUGAUUCCCGGGCGCCGUGAAGUUUUCAGAGCAUUGUAAAUAUCUCCUACCCAUCCUGAAAUAUUCAGCUCAGGGCCACCUCCUCCAGGAGGCCCUCCCUGACCAUCCUCACCUCCCAGGCCAUGGCAGCAUAGUGAGAGAGCGGGUGUUGAGGCAGCCCUGACUGUUCCAUCACAUUCUUGAGCAUUUCCAGCUCAUGAGUCUUUCUCUUCCACUGGCCAGGAGCUCUGGGGGCUAAAUUUCUCUGUACUCACGCCUCCAGAGAGGUGUAAAUGCUUCACACUUGGGAGGCCUCGCCAUGCCCUCAAGCCCUUCUUGCACCUGCCCUUGGGGUCCCUGCUGUGGGCUCAGCCGAGAGGUAAGGCCACCUGGUCAUGAGGGCCGGCAGGUAUUGCAGACACCAAACAGAAGUGCAAGACGGAUGUACCUUCCCACAGUCUUCCCUGGGGUACCCACUUCACUGGGCUCUGCAGCAGGACCUAUCCUCAGGUCCCACAGAGACUUCCCUGGGGGAAGUCCCCUUAAUUAGAUCAUUAGGAAACCUUUCAGUGUCGUCCCUCACUCCUCUUCCCUGCCCUACAACCACCCACAGCCAGCCCAGUCUAUUCUUCCUUCUCCAUCGCUGACGACCACCCAGGGCAGCCCCCAGAGCUCCCAGGAGAACCUGUGAGGACCCUCACCAAACCCCAGCCCCAUCCUGAACCCUCCCUGGGGUUAUCAGGCAGCACUGAGGUCCCCACCUGUGCACCUGACCCUGCCCACUGUCCUCCCCCAUCUUUCUCCAAUUCCCCCAAGACAGCCUCUGAGCCCUCAGGGCCUUGAUCCUGCUUUGCUGCCAGGAAUAUUCUCCUGGACCUUUCCAGCUGUCUCCUGCCCUAUUCAGAUCUCAGCUUAGUCACCUCCCAGUGUGCUCCCUCCCUGUCAGCCCUCAGCCCUAUCACAGGUGUCUGCAGAGUGCCUGUUACCAUCUCAUGUAUAUUGGGCCCUGAUGUCUGCCUGCCCACCACGAGGACGUGAGCUCCGUGGUCCUCAGGCCUUCUGGGGCUGUUUUGCCAUGGCACCUCCCAAGUGCCUGCAUCAGUGCUGAAGACAUUGCAGAAGCUCACGGAUAUUGACUGACUGCAUAGAUGCCAGUGAAUACAGGGACACCCACGCUUCUGCUCUGUGGAGCUGCAUGUGCUGCCCAGGCUCCCUGUGCGCCUGUCCCUGUUCCUGCCUGCUCUGGUCCAGGAGGCUGACUUGUCUGCUCUGCAAGGCCCAGGCUCCCUGGGUGCUGAUGCCUGCAGCAAAAUAAGAAGCAAUGGUGGCAAAAUGUGCACCUCCCUAAAUUAACUAUAAAGGCUAGAACCAAACUACUCAAAAUAUGAUGAACUUUGAAUGGUCUUGUUUAUGACUCUAUUUGGGCAUUGUUUUCAAACCAAAG
rnacentral:lncRNA from 1 species